GGCGGCGUAGCUCAGCUGGCGAGAGCGUUCGGUUCAUACCCGAAAGGUCGUGGGUUCGAUCCCCUCCGCCGCUACCA
rnacentral:tRNA from 1 species